GACGAGGGGUCCUAGCGUUGUUCGGAAUCAUUGGGCGUAAAGAGCGUGUAGGCGGCCAGACAGGUCCACUGUGAAAACUCGAGGCUCAACCUCGAGAGGUCGGUGGAAACCGUCUGGCUAGAGUCCGGAAGAGGAGAGUGGAAUUCCCGGUGUAGCGGUGAAAUGCGCAGAUAUCGGGAAGAACACCCGUGGCGAAGGCGGCUCUCUGGGACGGUACUGACGCUGAGACGCGAAAGCGUGGGGAGCGAACAGG
rnacentral:rRNA from 1 species